GGUUAUCCAGAAUUUCCCGAAUGCUUAUCAAAAUUAUUGCUUUGCUGCUGUUGUUCCACAGAGCGGUGCUAGCUGUAAGCACAGCUUGUCCCCUGGAGCAGUCCUGCGGCAAGGCAAACGACAGCAGCGCCAUCUGCCGUCUGGAUGAGCAAACUAUGUGCAUACGCAAAUACGCAUCGAAAUGCCAUAUGGAUAUUGCAGCUUGUCGCGAGGGAGCGAGUACCUAGCAACCUAACCAAGUCACAAGACAAGCUUCACUUCAGUUAAACAUAGCCUAAACCUCUUCAUCAAUCAUCAAUCAUCAGUCAAGCUCACUUUCCAUGCGCGUGCUACGGUUGGUGACACCAUAAUAAUAGCCACCGCUAGGACUACACCGACUUCAGUGACGUUUACUGCCAGAUGGAGACAUAUAUGUGCGAAGAGACGGCGACAUAUGAACGCUGGACCAUAUUCUUCGGGCACGCCAAAGAUUGA
rnacentral:misc_RNA from 1 species